rnacentral:rRNA from 1 species
UACAUCCUACGGGACGCAGCAGUGGGGGAUAUUGGACAAUGGGGGGAACCCUGAUCCAGCGACGCCGCGUGAGUGAAGAAGUAUUUCGGUAUGUAAAGCUCUGUCAGCAGGGAAGAAAGAAAUGACGGUACCUGACAAAGAAGCCCCGGCUAACUACGUGCCAGCAGCCGCGGAAAUACGUAGGGGGCAAGCGUUAUCCGGAAUUACUGGGUGUAAAGGGAGAGAAGAGGGUU